rnacentral:rRNA from 1 species
GACGAACGCUGGCGGCGUGCUUAACACAUGCAAGUCGAACGGAAAGGCCCUGCUUUUGUGGGGUGCUCGAGUGGCGAACGGGUGAGUAACACGUGAGUAACCUGCCCUUGACUUUGGGAUAACUUCAGGAAACUGGGGCUAAUACCGGAUAGGAGACCCUGCUGCAUGGUGGGGGUUGGAAAUUUUCGGCGGUUGGGGAUGGACUCGCGGCUUAUCAGCUUGUUGGUGGGGUAGUGGCUUACCAAGGCUUUGACGGGUAGCCGGCCUGAGAGGGUGACCGGCCACAUUGGGACUGAGAUACGGCCCAGACUCCUACGGGAGGCAGCAGUGGGGAAUAUUGCACAAUGGGCGGAAGCCUGAUGCAGCAACGCCGCGUGCGGGAUGACGGCCUUCGGGUUGUAAACCGCUUUCGCCUGUGACGAAGCGUGAGUGACGGUAAUGGGUAAAGAAGCACCGGCUAACUACGUG